GCUGCUUGCAAUGCAUCCAUCCACCAUGCAGGGUAAAAAAAAAAAUCAAAUCUUCAGCUCAUGGCAACAUCAGUUGGAAGAACACCAAAUUGUCAGCAUAGAUCAUCAUCAAAUCUUCAGGCCAUCAAACAUUGAAAAAGAAAGCAGGCAUGAAUAACUAACUAUGCUAAUCUGACAUGGAGCGCCGAUGUCUGAAUCCGUGUCAAGCUUGCUACAUGCAGAACAGUGAUUGCCAUGGCAGAUGCAGAGGUAGAUGCCUGUUCUCAGUGGGGGUUAGCUGCUCUAAUUCAUUGCAUUGCAGCAUUCAUAACUGCUGGGAGAGGAGUAACUCUGGCCUGCAAACCUCGCUACUAGUCGCCACUGCUGCAGCCCAGAGGCAACCACCAAUGCACACUCGGAAAACAUUACUGCAGCUCUAACAGUAAUUACUGAAGUGACAGGAUCA